rnacentral:lncRNA from 1 species
AGACCUAAAAAAUAUGCUUACAAAGAACAAAGAAAUGCAAAUUACCUGUAAAUCUAUAAGCUGGACACAGCCACGGAGAAGGUCAAAACCAAUCAAAAGAAACUAAACCAACAAGCUAGAUCCAGUGGGAUUGAAAUAGACCGAACAAUCAAAGGAAAAAAAAAUUUAAAAAUUCCAAACAAACAAUCAAAUCGAUUUUAGAUAGGAACAACGCUAAGAAUCUUAGAGCACACACCGUCAAGAAUGAAGCUUCGAAGAAAUCAACUCGACAGUGAAGAAACGACAGUAGGUUUAGGGCAACUAAUAGAGCAAAUUGGGAUAGAUCAAGCAAAAAAGAUAAGAGCAUGUUUGGGAGGUGUUUUAAGAAUUGAUUUUUUG